CGGCGGCGGCGGCGGCGGCGGCGGCGGCGGCGCGCGCACCCAGCCCGCCCCAGUGCGCCUCGGUCUAGCAUCUAGACCACUAUCAGCCGCUGAGCUACCAACAUGCCCGCCCCGUGUGAAUCUUGCAAGGACAGCUGCGGCGGCGGCAAAGCGGCGUGCGGCGCGGGCUGCACGUGCGGCCCGAGCUGCGCCUGCGGGGACGGGAAGGCCUCAGGGGGAAAGCCAUGCUGCCAAGGAUCUAAGAAGUAAUUGUCUCAAUGAGGCUGGAGAAUGACGAAGAUGGAGUGAAGGAUGGCUAUGCUUAGAGUUAAACUACAGUAUUUUAUUAUUUAGGUAUCAGAUAAAUUAUGUUUAGACUGGCUAAUUUGAUAUUUCAGAGAAAUUUAU